CUUUUUAUAGGUUAAGUAAAACCGAGGGCCUGUGGAGCCCUAGAUCUUUUUUUUUGUAAAAAGC
rnacentral:tRNA from 1 species